rnacentral:rRNA from 1 species
UACGAGGGGAGCAAGCGUUGUUCGGAUUUACUGGGCGUAAAGGGCGCGUAGGCGGUCGUGACAAGUCACUUGUGAAAUCUCCGGGCUUAACUCGGAACGGUCAAGUGAUACUGUCGGACUAGAGUACAGAAGGGGCAACUGGAAUUCUCGGUGUAGCGGUGAAAUGCGUAGAUAUCGAGAGGAACACCUGCGGCGAAGGCGGGUUGCUGGGCUGAUACUGACGCUGAUGCGGCGAAAGCCAGGGGAGCGAACGGG